rnacentral:rRNA from 1 species
GACGAACGCUGGCGGCGUGCUUAACACAUGCAAGUCGAACGAAGAGCGAUGGAAGCUUGCUUCUACCAGUCUUAGUGGCGGACGGGUGAGUAACGCGUAAUCAACCUGCCCUUCAGAGGGGGACACCAGUAGGAAAGGACAGCUAAUAACGCAUACGAUCUAAUCUCGGCAUCGAGGAUAGAUGAAAGGUGGCCUCUACAUGUAAGCUAUCACUGCAGGAGGGGAUUGCGGCGGAUUAGUUAGGAGGAGGGGUAAGGGCCCACGAAGGCGAGGAUCAGUAGCCCGACUGCGAUGACGGACAGCCACACUGAGAGUGUGACACGCCACAGUCGCACACAGGUAGCAGCAGUGGGGAAACUUGCGCCAUGAGCGGAAGUCUGACCGCGCAACGCCGCGGCAGUGAUGACGGCCUUCGGGUUGUAAAGCACUGCUUAUCGGGACGAAACGCCUUCUGGCGAAGAGUGAGAAUGAUUGACGGUACCGGGAUAGAAAGCCACGGCUAACUACGUG